GAUGAACGCUGGCGGCGUGCCUAAUACAUGCAAGUCGAGCGAACGGACGAGAAGCUUGCUUCUCUGAUGUUAGCGGCGGACGGGUGAGUAACACGUGGAUAACCUCCCUAUAAGACUGGGAUAACUUCGGGAAACCGGAUCUUAUACCGGAUGAUAUUUUGAACCGCAUGGUUCAAAAGUGAAAGACGGUCUUGCUGUCACUUAUAGAUGGAUCCGCGCUGCAUUAGCUAGUUGGUAAGGUAACGGCUUACCAAGGCAACGAUGCAUAGCCGACCUGAGAGGGUGAUCGGCCACACGGGAACUGAGACACGGUCCAGACUCCUACGGGAGGCAGCAGUAGGGAAUCUUCCGCAAUGGGAGAAAGCCUGACGGAGCAACGCCGCGUGAGUGAUGAAGGUCUUCGGAUCGUAAAACUCUGUUAUUAGGGAAGAACAUAUGUGUAAGUAACUGUGCACAUCUUGACGGUACCUAAUCAGAAAGCCACGGCUAACUACGUG
rnacentral:rRNA from 1 species